rnacentral:rRNA from 1 species
GACGAACGCUGGCGGCGUGCUUAACACAUGCAAGUCGAGCGGAAAGGCCCUUCGGGGUACUCGAGCGGCGAACGGGUGAGUAACACGUGAGUAACCUGCCCUGGACUUUGGGAUAACCCUCGGAAACGGGGGCUAAUACCGGAUACGACACACGCCUGCAUGGGCUGUGUGUGGAAAGUUUUUCGGUCUGGGAUGGGGUCGCGGCCUAUCCGGUUGGUGGUGGGGUGAGGGCAUACCAAGGCGACUACGGGUAGCCGGCCUGAGCGGGAGACCGGCCACAAUGGGACUUGGACACGGCCCAGACUCCUCCGGGAGGCAGCAGUGGGUAAUAUUGCACAAUGGGCGGAAGCCUGAUGCAGCGACGCCGCGUGAGGGAUGACGGCCUUCGGGUUGUAAACCUCUUUCAGCAGGGACGAAGCCGUGAGGUGACGGUACCUGCAGAAGAAGCGCCGGCCAACUACGUGCCAGCAGCCGCAGUAA